rnacentral:rRNA from 1 species
AGUCGAACGGUGAAGCCAAGCUUGCUUGGUGGAUCAGUGGCGAACGGGUGAGUAACACGUGAGCAACCUGCCCUGGACUCUGGGAUAAGCGCUGGAAACGGCGUCUAAUACUGGAUAUGAGCCUCUAUCGCAUGGUGGGGGUUGGAAAGAUUUUUCGGUCUGGGAUGGGCUCGCGGCCUAUCAGCUUGUUGGUGAGGUAAUGGCUCACCAAGGCGUCGACGGGUAGCCGGCCUGAGAGGGUGACCGGCCACACUGGGACUGAGACACGGCCCAGACUCCUACGGGAGGCAGCAGUGGGGAAUAUUGCACAAUGGGCGGAAGCCUGAUGCAGCAACGCCGCGUGAGGGAUGACGGCCUUCGGGUUGUAAACCUCUUUUAGCAGGGAAGAAGCGAGAGUGACGGUACCUGCAGAAAAAGCGCCGGCUAACUACGUGCCAGCAGCCGCGGUAAUACGUAGGGCGCAAGCGUUAUCCGGAAUUAUUGGGCGUAAAGAGCUCGUAGGCGGUUUGUCGCGUCUGCUGUGAAAUCCCGAGGCUCAACCUCGGGCCUGCAGUGGGUACGGGCAGACUAGAGUGCGGUAGGGGAGAUUGGAAUUCCUGGUGUAGCGGUGGAAUGCGCAGAUAUCAGGAGGAACACCGAUGGCGAAGGCAGAUCUCUGGGCCGUAACUGACGCUGAGGAGCGAAAGGGUGGGGAGCAAACAGGCUUAGAUACCCUGGUAGUCCACCCCGUAAACGUUGGGAACUAGUUGUGGGGACCAUUCCACGGUUUCCGUGACGCAGCUAACGCAUUAAGUUCCCCGCCUGGGGAGUACGGCCGCAAGGCUAAAACUCAAAGGAAUUGACGGGGACCCGCACAAGCGGCGGAGCAUGCGGAUUAAUUCGAUGCAACGCGAAGAACCUUACCAAGGCUUGACUACACCAGAACACCGUAGAAAUACGGGACUCUUUGGACCUGGUGGACAGGUGG